AACCUGGAUUGAAAUUACAAGUGACACUCUACAUCGUAUAACAGCUUCACAUCUCCUCAGAAAGGAGAGGUGUGCCACCACGCUUGGAAAGCACAGUAAUUCAUAUUCAGUUGGGCUUACACCCAGGCACCACUCUUAUUGCUCUCAAAGAGGCAACAUGAAAGUCAUGCAGAUUUCAACUAUAGUUAUUUCUGGAAGUGUCAAAAAUGGAAGGGAAUAGCCUCUCUCCCACGUUUUUAAUAAGCUUAGAAACAAAACACAGGAAUAUUUUCUCAUCAUGUUGAAUUGCUGAAUGAACACUGACACUUCUGUCCUGAAGCAAAUGAUGCUACAGAGAGCUAUGCGGUCUCCGAGGUGAUGGAAGGCAAUUAUUACCACACUGCUCCUCAGUUGCUGAGUGGAGCCUCUAGCUUUACACAUGGGCUCUGCCAUACCAAUGCCCCAGGCACAGACAGACUGCAACCACUGGACAUGGUGUCCAAACCAUGCAGUAUUACCUGCUGUUUUGUUGUUUUGGGUUUUGUUUGUUUGUAAUUUAUGCAUGCUGAUAUACCUAUUGCCAUUAUUUCCAUUCAGAUCACUACAGGCAGUAACUGGAACCAGUGAGCCCUAACCAGGGCUUUGAUCUGCUAUUCCUUUUGUACAGAAGUAUUUCUGUAGCAAAACCCUUCACAACCGCUAUGGUGCAAGCUGGCAGAUGACAGCAGGGAGAACUCUGAAGAAUAUUUAUAGGAAUCUGAACUGGAACCAAGACAAAGACAGGACUUCAGCUCCCUGGUGAAGGAAAAGACCAUGAAAGCUGGGAGAACACGAAGUGCUUUAUACCAUGCCUGUCCUUAAGUUUUUCUGACAAAAAACACAACAAAUAGCUGUGAAGAUCUAGAAUUACAUACUUAAUACGAAGCAACACUAAAUCUGAGCAUGGCACAGAAACCAAAGCCUUGGACAAGCAAGAAUCCUCCAAAUUUCUUGACAACCAGCAGUUUCUGGAUUAGAUCUAACACCUGUUCAAAGAAAGCCACAAGCAUCGUUUAUCAGCUUCCUGAUCUCAGAGGACAGCACGAGCUGACAACUCACUUUAUAUCACUCAGAGCAACAUUUUGCAAAUGCCUUGUGGCCACUGCUAAUAGCUGGAAGCAAUCAGUGUCCACCAGCACUGAGGACCACAUGCUCUUAAUGUAAAUUUCCAGCUCAAUUAAUAAAAUGACACCAAGGACAGUGUGACUGUUCUGUCUGGAAUUCUUAGAAGGGUAUUGACUAAAUCUUCACUCCUGCAGAGGGCACAGAAUCAGAGCAUUUGCAUGCCUCUGAUCAGUAUUUGGUGCCCAAUGUGGCUGUCACGAACGGGCAAAACUGCCACUUUUUUCUUCUCUCUCUCUUUUUUUGCUUUGUUUUGUUGUCAGCAUUGAACCCGGGAAUGAAGGAUCUCACUUGUUGGCCAGGCAUCCGCUGAGCUCUAACUGCACCCAUGGCACCCUACCUGCGCUCGGCCCUCCAUGCUGGAAACUUGUUUCAAUGCUACUGAACCCCAACUGCUGCCAGGCCUUAUACAACACUAAAACCCGGUGGCAGGAGGGGACAAGCAGCCCAGCACCUCCCCGCUGCCCUGCCAGUUGGCACACACAGCUGUGCUGGAGCAGAUGCUGACAUACACUCUUCCCAAUUGUUCCCAGCCAGCAAGGCCAGCAGAUUUACAGAAAUAACAAGAAACUUGUGACCAUUUUGCUCCA